rnacentral:rRNA from 1 species
GACGAACGCUGGCGGCGCGCCUAACGCAUGCAAGUCGAACGGAGCUGAGAGAAGCUUGCUUUUCCUAGCUUAGUGGCGAACGGGUGAGUAACGCGUGAGUAACCUGCCCUGGAGUGGGGGACAACAGUUGGAAACGACUGCUAAUACCGCAUAAGCCCACGAUCCGGCAUCGGAUUGAGGGAAAAGGAUUUAUUCGCUUCAGGAUGGACUCGCGUCCAAUUAGCUAGUUGGUGAGGUAACGGCCCACCAAGGCGACGAUUGGUAGCCGGACUGAGAGGUUGAACGGCCACAUUGGGACUGAGACACGGCCCAGACUCCUACGGGAGGCAGCAGUGGGGGAUAUUGCACAAUGGGGGAAACCCUGAUGCAGCGACGCCGCAUGGAGGAAGAAGGUUUUCGGAUUGUAAACUCCUGUCGUUAGGGACGAUAAUGACGGUACCUAACAAGAAAGCACCGGCUAACUACGUG